rnacentral:rRNA from 1 species
ACGAAGGGUGCAAGCGUUAAUCGGAAUUACUGGGCGUAAAGCGUGCGUAGGCGGUUUGUUAAGUCCGAUGUGAAAGCCCUGGGCUCAACCUGGGAAUGGCAUUGGAAACUGGCGAGCUAGAGUAAGGUAGAGGAGUGCGGAAUUCCUGGUGUAGCGGUGAAAUGCGUAGAGAUCAGGAGGAACAUCCGUGGCGAAGGCGGCACUCUGGACCAUUACUGACGCUGAGGCACGAAAGCGUGGGGAGCAAACAGG